AUGGCCAAAGGUCCAAAGGUAACACAUCCCGAGUAUGUUGAUUUCAAUAGUGAUGAAGAUGACUUGCUAGGUGAUGAUGAUUUACUUAUUGACAACUCUAGUGAUGAAUACUAUGAUAAAACGUCAAUUAAUCAUGCUAAUCAAGAUAAAACGAAUGACAAUGAUAAGGAGAAGAUUAAGUUUUUAACUAAAGAACUAAACACUCUUAAGUUAGCUCAUGAAACUAUCUUCGAAGAUCAUCGAGAACUUUUAAGGGCUCAUGAGAAGUUACGCUUUGAAAAGCUCAAUCUUGAGCAAGAGCAUGAGUUCUUAAAAGCAAUCAAUGAUGAUCUCCGUAAGAAAAGUUCUUCUUACAUUGCCAAGCGUUUACUCUUAUCUACUUACAUGCCUCAAGUCAAAUCUAGUAACAAGUACAAGAAAGGUCUUCCCUCUAGUAGUAACAAUAAUAAUGCCAAAUCCAAUAUUGUUGCUUCUAGUAGUUCUCUUGAUUCCACUAAUGAUUCUCUUACCAAGUUACACUUGAGCAAGAAAAUAGCUUAUUGA
rnacentral:rRNA from 1 species